rnacentral:rRNA from 1 species
AUGAACGCUGGCGGCGUGCCUAAUACAUGCCAGUCGAGCGAACGGACGAGAAGCUUGCUUCUCUGAUGUUAGCGGCGGACGGGUGAGUAACACGUGGAUAACCUACCUAUAAGACUGGGAUAACUUCGGGAAACCGGAGCUAAUACCGGAUGAUAUUUUGAACCGCAUGGUUCAAAAGUGAAAGACGGUCUUGCUGUCACUUAUAGAUGGAUCCGCGCUGUAUUAGCUAGUUGGUAAGGUAACGGCUUACCAAGGCAACGAUGCAUAGCCGACCUGAGAGGGUGAUCGGCCACACUGGAACUGAGACACGGUCCAGACUCCUACGGGAGGCAGCAGUAGGGAAUCUUCCGCAAUGGGCGAAAGCCUGACGGAGCAACGCCGCGUGAGUGAUGAAGGUCUUCGGAUCGUAAAACUCUGUUAUUAGGGAAGAACAUAUGUGUAAGUAACUGUGCACAUCUUGACGGUACCUAAUCAGAAAGCCACGGCUAACUACGUG